rnacentral:rRNA from 1 species
UGGGGAAUAUUGCACAAUGGGCGCAAGCCUGAUGCAGCAACGCCGCGUGAACGAUGAAGGUCUUCGGAUCGUAAAGUUCUGUUGCAGGGGAAGAUAAUGACGGUACCCUGUGAGGAAGCCCCGGCUAACUACGUGCCAGCAGCCGCGGUAAUACGUAGGUGGCAAGCGUUGUCCGGAAUUAUUGGGCGUAAAGCGCGCGCAGGCGGCUACUUAAGUCCAUCUUAAAAGUGCGGGGCUUAACCCCGUGAUGGGAUGGAAACUGAGAAGCUGGAGUGUCGGAGAGGAAAGUGGAAUUCCUAGUGUAGCGGUGAAAUGCGUAGAGAUUAGGAAGAACACCGGUGGCGAAGGCGACUUUCUGGACGACAACUGACGCUUAGGCGCGAAAGCGUGGGGAGCAAACAGG